rnacentral:rRNA from 1 species
ACAUGCCUACAACAUAACAUUAAUGUACCGGAUCCCAUUAGAACUCCGUAGUUAAGCAUGCUCAGGCUAGAGUAGUACUGGGAUGGGUGACCGCCUAGAAAUUCCUACUAUUUUACAUGCC